rnacentral:lncRNA from 1 species
AGGCAAAGCAAGUGGGAUUUCAAGUUUAGAGAAAACCUGUGUUGAUUCAGGAUUCAUCUCACCAGUAACAGCAGAAUGAGCAACUGCAUCCUCAGGUGCAAGAGCAGGGACAUCGGAGUGUAGGAAAGUAGAUGGUGCAAUAGUAGGCUCAUGACUUUGCUCCUCAUCCCCUAUGCGGGUGACACUGACAUCAUCAGUAAUCUGAACAGUCUGAAUUAGAGGUCCCUCUAAAACACGAGAUUGUUCCUCAAGGGCCUGCCUGGCUAUCUGCCCCCAGAACUCAUUCAAUGUUGGCUUAGAAGAAGUAGAAGAUUUGGAAGGUGGUCGAGCAGAUGCCUCUUGUUGUUCCUGUUUCCUCUGAUUUUUCUGUUGUGGCUGCUUGUUGUUGUAUAUGUCGGUAGCAUAAGCUUGAGGCUCAUCAUGAGUAACAGGGUGGUCCAAAGAAGGACAUGCAUCCGUAGAGUGGUCACUGGAAGGACAUAUAGCACACAGCCGUGCAACAGAUGCAGAUGAAGGUGUUGGUCUCUAGUUAGAUGCCAGCUGUGUCACCAAACUCUCAAGAGAAUCAAGCUUGCUUACAAAUUUCCUACCAACAGUUGAUAAAGAACGGGCAGGCUCAUGAAGCUGCGACUACUGUGGUUCCUGAUGGGUGUCGCCGCCCAAUCAAAUUUGAUUGCAUAAAAGAAUGCAAUAUAGUGCUAGGGAAUGACUCCUAGGUCGUCUCUCAAGGACCAAACUGUGGUUCGAGAAUCAGGUCUAACACUAAGUGGGGGGGUUUUGAAGGUGUUUGAGAUGAGAAUUAAACUAAAUUAAAUGCAUGAAAAUUAAACAUGAUCAAGCAAAAUUGAAAACAUAAAUGAAAACAUAAAAGUGAAAGAAAAUACUAAAUUGAAUAGCUCUAAAACAAGUAAACUAAUUAAAAUGUAACACAUACUAAAGAAACUUAAAGUAAAAUGUACAUUACGAAAACUAUUUAAAGGCAACAAACAAAUAAAACAAUACAUCAUUACAACUUGAAUAAACUUUAAAGAAAAGAAAGAAAAAAAAAACGUUAACAACUUAAAUCAAAAUUAGAUUCAAGUGCAGCUUGAAAUAAGAGGGCAACGUUAACUAACAAUUAAAAUCAACAUUCAACAUAAAUAGUUAAAAUGAACAUUCAACAAUAAUUUAACCAAGCACUUUCACGGACAUUCAUCACGAAAUUCAACACUAAAAAAACAUUAAAUGCUUCAAUAAUAAAAUAAAAGUGAAAUGAGAAGCUACUUUUGCAAUGCA